AGAUGAAGGCUAAGACCUACAGCACUGGAAACUUGAAUUUGUUCAUGUAUAUUCAAGCCAGGUAUAUACAGACGCAUUAUGAGACCUCCUUAAAAUCCAUAACAAUAGCCUUGCUUCUGACCUCCAACGCUAAAAUAUAUUUCUUUCUGGUAUCUAUUUUAAACAAAUAUAUUCAAAUUGUGUCAACCAUUUACAGUUUCCCUUUAUUAUUUUCUUUGAACCAUGUACAUUAAGGAUUAAAAAGUUUGUGAUCUUCCCAUGAUUUGAAUUGCACUCAUUUUAGGAACAGAAUGAGAGUUACAAUAAAUGAAUGCUCAUCAAAAGCCAGUUAACAAAUAUUCAUUUUUUAGAAGAAAAAGCUUCCAUAUGAACUGGUGGCAAAACCAAAACCAAACAAAAUAGGAAAUGUGGAUACAUUUUUACACUCUUGGCACUAAGCCAACUGUACAUCAAACUGGCAUUUUACAACACUGUAAUCUUUAUUUACAAGGGAAGAUGUGACACAGCUAAAAGAUGAAAGGAAAGUUAUUCACUUGAAAUUAGUAUGCUUUGAAUACAUUGCCUCUUCUGUGGCACAGUUUUUUGAUUGUGAGACCUGAAACCUUUUGAAAGCAGCACAAGGGCAGCGCAUGUGCUGGAUCAGAAUGGAACUUUGUGUGUGAAGCUUUAAGAGUCCCUUUCUCAAACUGCUCCUCUAAUUAUUCUGGAAUAACUUGAAGAAGCAAAGUGACAACAGAGAAGCAGAAGGAAAUUCACUGACAAUGUCAGGAGGGCAACUUUCAUUUCUCCUUUAAUAUUCCACCCUGACUCUGGUAACUUACCAGCUUUUCACAAAGCUUCACAUAUUGCAUGCAUAAGACCAUGAGUAUCAAAUACUGUUAGUGUUGUGAAAAAGGUCAUCUUCAUGUCCACAGCAUUAUCUUCUGGAAAGAAAGCUGCAGGAACCAAGAGUUCUGUAUCUGUUGACACUGACUCAAAGACUCAGAGAAAUUUGAAGCAAAAGGCCAAGUAAAAAGCAUCUCUAAAAUCAUUCAGUUCAAGAGGAGAAUAAUUUUUAAGCAUUUCUCUUUUUCAGAAGAAGCUCUGGAGGUUAAUAAAACACAUAAAUUGAGUCAGUAACAAGAUUGCUCAACUAACCCUGAAGAUUUCCAAAAGACACAAGAUGAAAAUCAUCCAAGUUUACUCUGCAACCACAUAUCACCCGUAUGAUGAAAUCAGCGGCCUGUAAGAAAAGUUAAAUCAACUUCUGGAUGAAGGAAAAACAUGGUUCAACAAGAUUAUAGAAGACUUUUAUACUUAAAUUGGUAUAAAGACAAUGUUGAGAGAAGGGAAUGUAGGUAAUAGAUGGAGAUGAUGCAUUAACUAGCCUUUCACCCCUGCGAUGUUAGUUCAAAUUCUGUAAAUUAAAUACAUUUUCUACUGCCA